GCAUAUGACUACUGGCAGGAUCAACCAGGUAGCACGUCCUCUUUGACAUCCAGCGUCGGUAGUUGCCCACCCGUCCACUUGCGUGGCAAGGCAGAGCCAACUACCGAGCUAGUUGUCGUAAUUGAGCGGGCCUAGCUCGUCCGACUUAUGAGGAUCGGCACAGUAUGUUGCGUAAUCCUACCACUAACUGUGGAGAGGUAGAGGCAACACAUGUUCCGGUUGUUCUCAAAUUCGGAGAGACUAGCUCGUCCGACUUAUGAGGAUCGGCACAGUAUGUUGCGUAAUCCUACCACUAACUGUGGAGAGGUAGAGGCAACACAUGUUCCGGUUGUUCUCAAAUUCGGAGAGACUAGCUCGUCCGACUUAUGAGGAUCGGCACAGUAUGUUGCGUAAUCCUACCACUAACUGUGGAGAGGUAGAGGCAACACAUGUUCCGGUUGUUCUCAACUUCGGAGAGCGUCCCGUCCUACUUGUAUGAGGAUCGGCACAGUAUGUUGCGUAAUCCUACCACUAACUGUGGAGAGGUAGAGGCAACACAUGUUCCGGUUGUUCUCAAAUUCGUAGAACGUUGUUAGGGUCAGGCCGAGGCAACCAAAAAGGGCCACGAGCCUAUAUCAUGAGCAACAUCCAAAACCAACAGCGAGAGCGAGGCUGCCUUGAUAGUACCAAGCACGGAAACAUGCCGGACCAAGAGGAAACGCCGCAAACGCCAUAUGGCCGCAGUAGAACACCCAAAGGCGUCCACCGCGAGUCAACUUUGUAUGAAGCACCACUGCCCGUAGGUCGGGUAACAUCACGCAAGCACCCGAAAGCAAACUGUAAGAUAUCCCACACGAAUGAGAAGACACGGCGCCAAUAGUCGGCCGCACAAAGACGGGGGAACUACCAGCAGACACGGGUCCAAAACAGCUCAUGCGCUCGCGUAGCCA
rnacentral:misc_RNA from 1 species